GGUUCACCGCUGCUCUGUUGGCUGCUCCAAGUCCGGCUGACAGGUCCGGCUGCUCCUCAUCUCCGCCUCGCCAGCCGGCAGCGCAGCCCCCGCCGCCUCCUCCCCCACUCUCCCGUCAGCAUGGUCCACGGCUCCCGGAUCUGAAGCAGCCGCACCGUGCUGCCGCGGUGCACAGCAGCAGGUUCCCAAGACAACCCUCGCCGUCCCUCUGACUGUCUCUCUCUCUGUGUGACUGAACCCAACACAACCCUCAUUCGCAGGUCGCAGCUAGCUAGGCAUCAGCGGCACCGGUCACCGGCGGCAGCGUACAUCACCGGCUGCAGCGUACAUCACCGCGCGCGGCAACGGACGCAGUACACACUCAUCCCCUUUUUUUAACUUCUCAAUUUCAUACAGUCUUGCAGGUCAGGAUGUCAAUGGACAGCUCGCUGGGCAUUGUGGGACUUGCCCGCUCUGACCACCACUUAUGUGGGAUUAUGUCAUAGUCCAGUUAACUUUUUUGUGGCGUAUGUAGUGUUCACAUAGUACCACGUAUUCACAGAGCAAACUGACACGAAUAUACUACUUACAAUAUAGUGCCAUUAGUAUGGGCCUAAUUAGUAACACCUCUGAUUAUUCAGUACAGAGCAAACAUAGUACAGGAAAUUGGCAACUCUAAAUCUCUAGAUUCAACAUUUAUCUACAACUUAGAUUAUCAAAGCUGAACCCAAUGGACAUGAUUAUGGCUAUCAAGAUGUAAUGGAGAGUGACCAAUCUGCAUCAAUGAGGUGUUUGAAGUCUGAACCUUUCAUCUACCUAGAAGGGAAUGGCAUGCAAUGAGGUGUCCGAAGUCUGAACCUUGCUCCAUAUCAUUUAGUUCUCAGGUUACUGCAACCUGAAUCUGCAUCAGUCCUCACCGUCUACUACUCCGACGACGUACGACAUCCACCGGUCCCAUCUUCCAAGUCCCAUAGGCUGCAUCGCAGCAGAGGGGGAGAGGCGAUGAGCGCUAGAGGAGCAGAGCAGAGGUACCGUGAAGUCGUUGCCGAAGGCCUCAUCUGAAUUAGCUCCGGCGACGACGACGUCGGCUUUGACGUCAGGCGCAACUGGGACGGCAGAUCUUGUCUCACCGGCUUUUCUGGGCUGUCCAUUUGUGCCAUUUAUUUUUGCUGGACGUCCACCAAGGCCAUUUGAUCUUUUUUUGCUGGGUGGCACAUGUGGGACUAGUGGGACCCAACGCCACUUACAUCCUGACUUGCAAGAAUGCCAGUAGUCGCGGUUGUUCUUCUCUUAGUUUCAUAAUGCUGCAUAAUACACAAGUUUUAACACAUCUAUCAACUAAGCCAAGUUUUAACCUUUGAGAGAAACUAUCAAAGGACCAUUGGGAUUUCAGGAUAAGAAAUGAGCAAGUAGCCUUGUACAAACGAAAAACAAGUUCCAACAGCACUUCUAAAUUUGAUUCGUGUUGCUGCAGCCACUCAACCCAAAGACCAAUCCACAAGGGAAAGUUUUUUUUGCAGCUAGCUAGGCCUUUAAUUUGUGGCUACCAGCAACCAAGAUUUAUCUAUCACAUCACAUUUGAUUCAUUGGUCCCUGCCUGGAUAUGUAAGAUUCUUGGAGCAGUAUAGAACUAAAGGGAUGCACAAAUGGGCAACCUUCAAAGCCUGUACAGAAGUUCAGUGACAUGAAUAUUCCUCUAUGCAUGAUUUUAUAAUUUGCUAUAUGCGUUUGAGAUUAGGCUUUUGUAUUUUCUUUUGAGAAAAAAGGGAAAAGCUAAGUAGCUAAUAAAUGGUAUAUUAGAAAGGAGUGGCCAGAGCACAUAUUUGUUAUUGUUAUGGAAAUACAAGUUUUGCCACUGUAAAUACAAAAGGAGUGGGCAGAGCACCUAUUCUGCAUGUGAAUUAUGUUUAGUCCCAGUUUGCAAGUUUUGCAUGUGGAUUAUGUUUGAUCCCAAUUUUCACUUUAUUGCAGGACAUGCAUUAGUUUGACGUCGAGACCGUUGUCGCGGAGCUUCUUGCUGGACGGAAGACCGGCACCGAACACGCUUCGAGGGUAAGAAUCAUUCGCCUCGUAGGAUUUAUGUAUAUGUAAAUCAUGUAGCUAGCUAGUCGCGUACCUAUGCGUCUCCCGUUCGAAAGAGUUACAUUAUUUAUAAAUAUGCAAUCUUUGUAUAUUUAUAAUAGUAACUCUUUCGAAUUGUCCAGCGUUUUCCACGGACAGCCCGAGGAUGUGUAGGCUGGCUUCAUUUUUAUGCUCUACUCCGAUCCGAUACAGGAUUUCGGCAGCGUCUUCCCAUUGUUCUCUGAAUGCACAUUCUCUCGGCUUGUUGCUGAGACGUGUAUUUGGAGAACAACGGGGAGGUGCUGCCGAAAUUCUGUGUGGAUCGGAGUAGUGCAUGAAAACGAAGCCACCUACACAUCCUCGGGUGGGAUUAGGACCUAUCCUUACCUAUUAGAUAGUUUGAGUUCAUGCCGUAAAACAUGAAUAAUUGUAAUUAAUUGAACUAAUACUGGAUGAAACUACUGUGUGGUAGGUGGAUCUUCACCUGGCCAAGCAAGUCCAGUGACACCCACUACGGUUCAUGUCGCUUCGACCUCCCCGCAACAAUGAUCACUAGUCGUCCAUGUUUGUCCAUUGUUGAUGCUUGCGUCUUCUCGUUGCUUGUGCUUCUCAACUUAAAACUUGUGCAUUGUUGAUGGUAGAGUCCACAAGCGUCGAUGCUUAUAUUGUACAUACUUCCUAGCUUCUAUUUGAGCCUUAUAUGUUGAUGCUUGUUAACUCUUUUUCCUUAUCCAUCUUUUCAACUUAUCUUUAGAAACUCAUGCGUGUGAUAAUGGACUUAUAGGUUUGCAUUGUGGAUGGCGUUGACGGUGGGCAUAUAUGCUGCGGUGGAGCUCAUUGGUUCAUGCUUGGUGUGAACUUGGAACUCAUGAUCCUUUAAUUUGUGAACCUCUGGUUGCAUAUGUAUGUAUGUUGUUGUGAACCUUCGUUGGAUAUGUAUGCACUGUGUGGACCUGAAACUUACGGUCCUUUCGUUUGUGAUCUUUUGUUGCAUACGUAUGCAUAUGUGGACUCUGCACUCAUGUACGGCUGGAUAUAUGUAUUACUUGAUAUAUGUUUGUUGGUCAUGGUCAUGUACUGCUGGAUACAUAUAUUUGUUGGAUAUAUGUGCUGCUGGAUAGAUGUACUACUAUAUAUAUGUUGUUGCUGCUCCCUGAAGUGAUAUAUGUGCUGCUGGAUAGAUGUACUAGUGUAUAUAUGUUGUUGCUGC
rnacentral:lncRNA from 1 species